UAAGCAUAUCAAUAAGCGGAGGAAAAGAAACCAACAGGGAUUGCCCCAGUAACGGCGAGUGAAGCGGCAAGAGCUCAAAUUUGAAAGCUGGCUCCUUCGGGGUCCGCAUUGUAAUUUGCAGAGGAUGCUUCGGGAGCGGUCCCCAUCUAAGUGCCCUGGAACGGGACGUCAUAGAGGGUGAGAAUCCCGUAUGGGAUGGGGUGUCCGCGCCCGUGUGAAGCUCCUUCGACGAGUCGAGUUGUUUGGGAAUGCAGCUCUAAAUGGGUGGUAAAUUUCAUCUAAAGCUAAAUAUUGGCCGGAGACCGAUAGCGCACAAGUAGAGUGAUCGAAAGAUGAAAAGCACUUUGAAAAGAGAGUUAAAAAGCACGUGAAAUUGUUGAAAGGGAAGCGCUUGCGACCAGACUCGCUCGCGGGGUUCAGCCGGCAUUCGUGCCGGUGUAUUUCCCCGCGGGCGGGCCAGCGUCGGUUUGGGCGGUCGGUCAAAGGCCCUCGGAAGGUAACGCCCCUAGGGGCGUCUUAUAGCCGAGGGUGCAAUGCGACCUGCCUAGACCGAGGAACGCGCUUCGGCUCGGACGCUGGCAUAAUGGUCGUAAGCGACCCGUCUUGAAACACGGACCAAGGAGUCUAACAUCUACGCGAGUGUUCGGGUGUCAAACCCGUGCGCGAAGUGAAAGCGAACGGAGGUGGGAACCCUUACGGGUGCACCAUCGACCGAUCCUGAAGUCUUCGGAUGGAUUUGAGUAAGAGCGUAGCUGUUGGGACCCGAAAGAUGGUGAACUAUGCCUGAAUAGGGCGAAGCCAGAGGAAACUCUGGUGGAGGCUCGUAGCGGUUCUGACGUGCAAAUCGAUCUUCGAAUUUGGGUAUAGGGGCGAAAGACUAAUCGAACCAUCUGGUAGCUGGUUCCUGCCGAAG
rnacentral:rRNA from 1 species